GAGUUUGAUCAUGGCUCAGAAUGAACGCUGGCGGCAUGCCUAACACAUGCAAGUCGAACGAAGGCUUCGGCCUUAGUGGCGCACGGGUGCGUAACGCGUGGGAAUCUGCCCCUUGGUUCGGAAUAACAGUUGGAAACGACUGCUAAUACCGGAUGACGACGUAAGUCCAAAGAUUUAUCGCCGAGGGGUGAGCCCGCGUAGGAUUAGCUAGUUGGUGUGGUAAAGGCGCACCAAGGCGACGAUCCUUAGCUGGUCUGAGAGGAUGAUCAGCCACACUGGGACUGAGACACGGCCCAGACUCCUACGGGAGGCAGCAGUGGGGAAUAUUGGACAAUGGGCGAAAGCCUGAUCCAGCAAUGCCGCGUGAGUGAUGAAGGCCUUAGGGUUGUAAAGCUCUUUUACCCGGGAUGAUAAUGACAGUACCGGGAGAAUAAGCUCCGGCUAACUCCGUGCCAGCCGCCGCCGUAAG
rnacentral:rRNA from 1 species